GUAUGAGAUUAAGAGAUCCUUAGAGUAAUCAGAAUAAAGAGAGUGUUUAGGAAGUGAUUAAGAGAAGUUUGUGAAAGAUUAGGAGACUAGAUAGAGCCGUUUAGUGUCUAAGAGAAAACCAUAGUGUCUAAGAGAUUAGAGAGACUCAAACUGCAUAAUCAUUAUUAGGGUUGAUGAGUUACAAUAUAUAUAGAGUGAGCAUACAAGGGUUUUCGAAAUCAAGAGAAGACUUAAGCAUGUGAGGUCAAUCAGGAGAGGAUAAGCUCAUUUGGACUAGCC
rnacentral:lncRNA from 1 species